GAUUUUCUUCGCGUACGGGUUGUGCUAACGAAUGGAAAAACUCUACAAUUGGUGGCUCAGCAGCGGCGCUAUUAAAAAUAAAGCCCAAAACUUUUAACUACUUUCCUUUGAUACGCAAAUCCCAGGGCAGAGACAAUAAAGAAAAACAAAUAAUUAUAAUAAAUCCAACACAUUGAAAGCGAGGCUAAAGGCCAACAUUUCCUGCGAAGGAUAACUUUGCCGCGUCUCGCUUUUCUUAAUAGAAAAUCCUUUUCGCCCAGCUUUCUGACCAGCUCAAAAAAGUACAGAAUUUGGCACGUCUUUGAGGUUUCUGAGUUUUUUUGCUGCUGCCAGGCUGGCUGCAAACAAAGUAAAAGUUACAGCGAAAGUUAUUGUGCAACGUGUGGCAAGUGCGGCAAACAAAAAAGCGAAUGCAGCGGCAAGUUUAAUUCGAUUUUAGUGUGCAACAAUCAGUGAGAAAAAACAGAAAGGAAGAAGUCUUACCUGUCUGCGUGCAGGUGCCACUUGUGUGUGAGAUCCGUGUGGAAACAGCAGGAGAAUUGUAAAGUGGAUUAGCAGACGGCUCCCUCUCUUCCACACUGCUCUUGGAUUUUCCCUUGGAUGAGCGUGUCAAAUCUUUUAACUUCUGCUUGCCCAUAAAAUCAUGAUUACGAGAAAAUGCAGAUAAAGAUGUUGGCAAACAUUCACUGGAAGUCUCAGCAAAUUUGGGCAGCUUUGUUUGUGGUAAGAAAAAUUCGUUUAUUAC